UGUGCUGGUCACCCAGACAAGAGUGUAGCUAAAAAAGCUCUCAGGACCUUCAGUUCCUCUUCCAACACCUCGAUGUUGACACCUAUGGAUGCAAGGCUGUCAGUCUUAUUCCGCUCCUGUUGAAAUAUUUUUCUGACGAAGACACUGAACUGUGAAAUACCUCCAUCACUAUUUUUGGCAAGCUCUUGAAAGGGGUGAAGGAGACACGCAAUAAUGUGACCGAAAACAUCCUGCACAGCCUUGUUCCCCUCAUCCUACAGCUGGCAAAUGGCCAGAUCAAAGAGGAAUGGAUGACACAACCAUAUCCUCUCAUUCAAAUAUUCAGUGUUCGAGAUCUGGGGUACCUUCUUCAGCACUCCUUCAAGAAGAACAUUUUAGAGCCAAUGCCUGUGAUAAACUGUGCUGGUCACCCAGACAAGAGUGUAGCUAAAAAAGCUCUCAGGACCCUUCAGUUCCUCUUCCAACACCUCGAUGUUGACACCUAUGGAUGCAAGGCUGUCAAUCUUAUUCCGCUCCUGUUGAAAUAUUUUCCUGACGAAGACACUGAACUGUGAAAUACCUCCAUCACUAUUUUUGGCAAGCUCUUGAAAGGGGUGAAGGAGACACGCAAUAAUGUGACCGAAAACAUCCUGCACAGCCUUGUUCCCCUCAUCCUACAGCUGGCAAAUGGCCAGAUCAAAGAGGUCUCCAGGAUCUGCAAAGCGAUUGCAAAGCCUUGGUGGCUCAAGUUGCAGCCGACUCAAUAGAAGAAAUC